rnacentral:misc_RNA from 1 species
GAUGAAGAACGUAGCGAAAUGCGAUAAGUAGUGUGAAUUGCAGAAUUCAGUGAAUCAUCGAAUCUUUGAACGCACAUUGCGCCUCCUGGUAUUCCGGGAGGCAUGCCUGUUCGAGCGUCAUUAAAAUCACUCAAGCUUAGGUUUACCUAUUGCAUGGUCUUGGAGAUGGAAGCCAAUUUAUUGGAAUCCUCUUCGAAAUUCAAUGGCGAAGACCCUUGCUCUCCCAAGUGUAGUAAUAACUUAUGUCACUGAAGGAAGCGAGAAAUCUUCUGCCGUAACCCCCAUAUUUUCUAUGAUUGACCUCGGAUCAGGUAGGGAUACCCGCUGAACUUAAGCAUAUCAAUAAGCGGAGGA